CCUACGGGGGGCUGCAGUGGGGAAUUUUUCGCAAUGGGCGCAAGCCUGACGAAGCAACGCCGCGUGGAGGAUGAAGGUCUUCGGAUUGUAAACUCCUGUCGACCGGGACGAAUGCACUCGACCUACUACGUCGGAAUGUUGACGGUACCGGUGGAGGAAGCCACGGCUAACUCUGUGCCAGCAGCCGCGGUAAUACAGAGGUGGCAAGCGUUGUUCGGAAUUACUGGGCGUGGACUGCGAGUAGGCGGGCGAAAGCCCUCGGCGUAACUGAGGAUCUGCACGGGAUACUGCGAGGCUUGAGUUCGGGAGAGGAAAGCGGAAUUCCGGGUGUAGCGGUGAAAUGCGUAGAUAUCCGGAGGAACACCAGUGGCGAAGGCGGCUUUCUGGACCGACACUGACGCUGAGGCGCGAAAGCUAGGGGAGCAAACGGGAUUAGAUACCCUGGUAGUC
rnacentral:rRNA from 1 species